UUCCUUAAAACAUGUACAUUUAACUAUUAUAACUUUAUUACUGGUACAAACAAUGUUAACUUGACUUAUUAUACAUUCUCGUUCUCUGGAUAGGUAAUACUGACAAUCGCGCAAGCGUAGAACCGAUCAUGUAGUGUCGUAAACCAUCGUAAAAGACGUUGAACUUCUGCGCGUGCGCACGAUUAUGCGCAUGCGCAGAACGGAUCUGGCAGGCGGUACGGAUCGUGUACUGACAUGACACACGCCACCACAAGAAAGCGGAAACGCAUCGUAGAGGGAGAGCCAUGUGGGGUAAGUUAAUCUACGUAAAUUUAGUAAAUAAUAAUAAUGUUGUUGUUGGUUUUUGUUGUUUCGAAUAAAAUAUAGGGAUACUUAUCCUGACCAAAACUUCUUCAUGCUGUAAAACGACUAGAAUCACGCGAAUUUAGUGUUUUUUUCUUAGUAGGCCUACAAUUCAAUGUCUUAUACUGUAAAACGUGGACAAAUACGUGAUAAUUAGCCAAAUAAAUCAUUGUUCACGACACGUUAUGGUUAAAUUAUCGAAAUGAGUGCGAUGGUGAUACAAUCCUGCUUUUCAAUUAGUUGACAUGGUGUUUGACAUGAAAUUAUAAGCAGAUCCUUGCUCCUGAUAUCCUGAUGUAUGGGAUGCACUUCAUUAUGUGACUCCAACAGAACACUCACAGAAAGGAGAAUGGUGUCAAACUACAAGACAGCCAGCAUGUAAACAAGGCCUUGUUUGUCCUUGUUUGGCUACUCAUUUGUUUACUUCCUGAAGAGGCUGAAGCAUGCUGGCCUUGACACCUCAGUCCUUGCUUCCAUUAACAGGUGUGUUACGGAGCGCAUCCUCACAUCAUGAUCUACUGCAGCGGUGGAAACGGAGGACAAUUGGCAGGUUGUCAGCUGUUGUCAGGCUCAUCACCAAAGCAGAAAGACAUAGUGAGACCAGACAUGCCAGGAAGGAGCAAGGCACAGGCCAGGAAGGAGCAAGGCAAAGCCCAGGAAUUUUUCUGCAGCUGUUCCCGCCAGCUAUAGAAGGACUGCUCCUGAGAAUAGAUGGGUGUCUACAUUGUUUUGCAAAAUGGGUCUUCUACACAUGAUGCUUGUCAAGCACUGCUCAUUGACUGGCCAGGGGUCCUCUGUAUUGUGGCCACUGGUCAAAGGCGCCACAUGACUGUCUCAGAGUCCUCUACAUCAUUCCGGUGACGGGACUUCUGGCCUAGUCUGACCGGAUGGGUCUUGUGUUACUGUGACCAGACAGCUCAACAAUGCAUCAUUCUCAUCCAUGCCCUCAUCGCCUCAAGACUAGAGUACUACAACAGCAUUCUCUAUGGUCUUGAAAAAUAUUAUUGUCUUUAUUAUUAUAAUAAUAAUAAUAAUAAUAAUAAGUACAGUUCUCUCUGCACCCGAACCAGCAGGUUCAGAGGAAGCUUCUUUUCUGUAGCUGUCAUCCGACUGGACUGUAGCUCUGUUGUGUGACAACCCAUCAACUAAGCCCCCAAUACCCUAUCCCCCCCAUAGUGUUAUUUAUUUACAAAUGCACAUACUGUAAUUAUAAUUAUACAUAACCAUAUUCUACUGCUCUUCAUAUUAUCCAUCCUGAACAUACACGUCUUACUACUCUUAUAAUGUUACUGUAGCUGUACGUACUAUACAUAUCUGUGUAUAUGGUUCAUAUCUGAAUAUCAUUUAUUCUGUUUCUCAUAUGUUCUGUUAAUACACUGCCCAUAUUUAUAUCUAAUGUAUAUUACUCUAAACCACCUUCUGUAAACCAACUGCAUAUUACUGU